rnacentral:rRNA from 1 species
GACGAACGCUGGCGGCGUGCUUAACACAUGCAAGUCGAACGGAAAGGCCUGCUUUCCCUUGUGGAUUGCGGGUGCUCGAGUGGCGAACGGGUGAGUAACACGUGAGUGAUCUGCCCCCAACUUGGGUAUAAGCCUGGGAAACUGGGUCUAAUUCCCGAUAGGACUGCAGGGUGGUGCCUGUGGUGGAAAACGAUUUUCUAGUGGUUGGGGAUGAGCUCGCGGCCUAUCAGCUUGUUGGUGGGGUAAUGGCCUACCAAGGCGGCGACGGGUAGCCGGCCUGAGAGGGUGGACGGCCACAUUGGGACUGAGAUGCGGCCCAGACUCCUACGGGAGGCAGCAGUGGGGAAUAGUGCACAAUGGGCGGAAGCCUGAUGCAGCGACGCCGCGUGGGGGAUGACGGCCUUCGGGUUGUAAACUCCUUUCGACCGCGAGGAAGCCACCUGGUUGGAAGGGUGGUGACGGUAGUGGUAGAAGAAGCACCGGCUAACUACGUG